rnacentral:rRNA from 1 species
CCCUAGUAACGGCGAGUGAAGCGGCAACAGCUCAAAUUUGAAAUCUGGGUCUUUUAGGCUCCGAGUUGUAAUUUGUAGAGGGCGCUUUGGUGUUGGCUGCGGUCUAAGUUCCUUGGAACAGGACGUCACAGAGGGUGAGAAUCCCGUACGUGGUCGACAGUCUUCACCGUGUAAAGCCCCUUCGACGAGUCGAGUUGUUUGGGAAUGCAGCUCUAAAUGGGAGGUAAAUUUCUUCUAAAGCUAAAUAUUGGCCAGAGACCGAUAGCGCACAAGUAGAGUGAUCGAAAGAUGAAAAGCACUUUGGAAAGAGAGUCAAAAAGCACGUGAAAUUGUUGAAAGGGAAGCGCUUGCAAUCAGACUUACCUGUAGUUGCUCACCUAGGCUCUUGCCUAGUGCACUCUUCUACAAGUAGGCCAGCAUCAGUUCAGGCGGUUGGAUAAAGGCCUCUAUCACGUAUCUUCCUUCGGGAUGACCUUAUAGGGGAGGUGUAAUGCAACCAGCCUGGAUUGAGGUCCGCGCAUCUGCUAGGAUGCUGGCGUAAUGAUUGUAAGCGGCCCGUCUUGAAACACGGACCAAGGAGUCUAACAUCUAUGCGAGUGUUUGGGUGUCAAGCCCGGGCGCGCAAUGAAAGUGAACGGAGGUGGGAACCUUAGGGUGCACCAUCGACCGAUCCUGAUGUCUUCGGAUGGAUUUGAGUAAGAGCAUAGCUGUUGGGACCCGAAAGAUGGUGAACUAUGCCUGAAUAGGGUGAAGCCAGAGGAAACUCUGGUGGAGGCUCGCAGCGGUUCUGACGUGCAAAUCGAUCGUCAAAUUUGGGCAUAGGGGCGAAAGACUAAUCGAACUAUCUAGUAGCUGGUUCCUGC